AAUUGUUUUCUGAGAUUUUUUGUGACUUUUGUUCGACAUUUGACAAUUCCUCAAAACCUUUCAUGAAUACAUUUGCAAUGAGUGAGUAAAGAAAUAAGUUGUCGGGUGAAGCUUCCUCGCGUUACAAUGCAGUUAAGUCCCUCCUGGGCCGGACAAGUCAAAUUAGUGGAAAAAGGCCCGGAUUGCAUCCACUUUUAAGGGAUCGGACGGUUCCUCACACAGGGAAGCUGAUGGGUAUGGAAUACCCUUAAAAAUUCAGAGUUCUGGGGUCCGCCUGACUGAUUUUUAAAAAUCUUCACCCGCAAAAUAUAUUUUCUGUCAAAAAUAAAAAAAAAAUACGAGGGUGUCAAGCAACCUGAAAAAUCGAGAAUUAAGUGGGAAAUUAUUCGACACCAGAGAAAACCUUAAAAAACGCCGUGGAUCUUACUUUAGCUCAUUGUCAGUUUGCCAUCAGUUUUCAGUGUAGGCAACACGAGCUCCGACAAGGCCGAACAGUGGUAACACCCUCAGUUAUGGCACUUGUUUGUGUUGGCGCUCAGACUUCAGGCAAAGACCCCCUCGAAUGACCGAGCAGGCAAGAUGGCUGCGUGGCGCACCACCGGACUACUAGAGCAAGAUCACUGAGUAGCAUGCUGUAUAUUACUAGCUGCUUGUUUUAUUAUAUUUUCUUUAAACUGCAGAGAAUGUCUGUUCUUUGCAUGUAUUUUUGUCAUGAGCUCUCGUGAUUUUUCAAUUGUUGUUAAAAAUGAAGGUUUUUUUAAAGAAAUAAAAAAAUAAACUAAAUAAAUAAAAGUUAAAAAACUUA